rnacentral:lncRNA from 1 species
CAGAGCCUCCUGGCUCUCAGGUGGGCAUCCCCUCUGUCCACAGUCACAGGCCACAGCUGGCUCCCAAGGCCGUGGCUGCUGAAGUCACGACUUGGACAGUGGUCCCCGGGCACAGGCGUCUGUCUCAGAGACGCAGUUUCUCCCUGGCCCUUGGCACCUACGCCGGCUCCUCCACCUUGCUGGCCCCACCUUGCCCAGGCUGAAGAGCAGGCUUGCAGCCUCAGGCUGUCCCCAGUCUGACCCCAGGAGGCUGAGCGGGGACCUGACCUUUGGAUGUGAGUGACCUGAUCCCGCAGGCCUGCUGCCCUCCUUGCAAGGGAGACGGUGGAAGGAAGCCACAUGAGGGCCCUGCCGCCCAGCAGGACCGCAGACCUGAGGUCGGGCCGGGGUCUGGCCGACUGGACAUAAAUGGAGAAAGGAGGCUUGCUUCACGCUCCUGGGCCAAGAUUUCCAUCUGCUACAAAUGGACGGAGAGACAGGUCAAAAGGAGGAAAUGCAUUUCCAUCCUUCAGCCUGACCGGUGUCCAGAAGCAGCUGGUCCAGGCCCAGAAGUAACAAGUUCUGUGAGGCUCGAUAGGACAAUCUGCAUUAGGGGCCACUCCUGAACCCAGGGCCAGAGACGGCGGGUUUAAGUGGUCCUGACACCAGGAGGCACAGCACUGGGAACAGCCUCUUCCCACUGGAGGGACGCAGGUCCUUGGCCUUAGGCCUGUGUGGACCCAGCCCGGUGUGUGAUGAGGGUUGGAGACAGCCCCAGAGUGCUCCGGCGGCCGCCCCUGCAGUUGGAACCCUCCCUCCAGGAGGUAGGACCUGGCCAGCGGCACAAAGGACCCAACUGCCCCAGGAGCAGGCACGGCAUCCAGAAUCGACCACUGAGCCCGACUGCAGCCGCGGCAGACACAUCCAGUCUGUGGGACUUGGCUCCAACGAAAACCAAUUAAAACUGCAGCUCCUCCAGGUCACCGCCUGCUCCCGCCCUGUCACCAUGAUGAGUUUGCCUAUUAGACUCGCAGUUUCUUCCAGAGCAGUUGUGAUUUGCUGUAGCAGCCACAGCACAGAUGAGAAGGGGCAGACGACCUUCCACGAGCCACGGGGCCAAAGACUCACCAGAAACUGUCACACAGAGCGCAGAAGGGUGCAGCAGCUCACCAGCACCCCCACACCCUGGGCUUCCUGCACCCCUGACCUCCCUCCUCCCUGGUUCUCAGGAUGACCUGGGACCUGGCUUUGAAGCAUGCUGGGUACAGCCGGGCUGGCAGUGUCCCGUAACCAGGAGCGAUGUCAUCUUUGCUCUGAAGACAGGGAAACUGAGGCAGGGAGGUCGUGACCUCACCAGGUCAGUGGGAAGUGGUGGUUUCUGACUUGAGAGCCCGCCCUUCAUGUCCUGCACUUCCCCACUCGGCAGGGACAAGACCCCCUGUGUCCCCUGUCCCCCUUGCCUGAGGAGUGCAAGCCAUAGUGGGCUGGCUGCUCACGAGGCCACCGCUGGCGCUCUCACUGACGUGGCUCUACAAGCAAGGGUGGCUGGAGUCCCCGGGGCUUGGGUCAAUAGCGCAGUCGCUGGCCUCGACCCGGCACCAGGGGCUGAACAUCCCCUAUCAGCACCUCCUGCACACGUUCAGCAGCAGAUCUUGAGUAUUAAUUAAUGUUUAUCAAACACAUGCCCAGAGCCCACUAGGG